CGUUUCCUUCUUUAACAGAGAUUCUUCCUCCCUUCUACUUUCCUCUUAAUCUAAUCUUUCUUCCAUUUGUUCUUUCUUUUUGGGUAAUUUAUUUUCUCCCCCUCUCGAUUUUGUCAAAACCCUAGAUUUGUGGGUAUCUAAAAAUGAAUAAAACUUUCCUCUUUUCUUUCGAUUAUAAAUAUCCUCUCUGGCUUUCUUGCUUACCCUAAGCCCUCUCAGAUCUAACUCUACAGUCUCCACACGUCUCCUCUUUUAAAUAUCCAUCUCUGUCUUACACAACUUGUGUCGGUAAGGCCAUUGAGUGAGUUUUUGGGUCAAUUUUAAGAGAAACGCAAAGAAACUGACAGAAGAGAGUGAGCACACAAAGGCACUUUGCAUGUUCGAUGCAUUUGCUUCUCUUGCGUGCUCACUGCUCUAUCUGUCAGGUUCCGGCACCGAUUCUUUUUGGUCCGUUCACGUUUUCUUCUUUAAUUGUGUUCCCAUCUCUUUCUCACUUUCUCUCUCAUGUUCUUCAUCUCUCCUAGGUUUGGAUUGUCUAUACCAGAGCUGAACGCAGUGUUCACGGCAACCUAUUAAUUUGUAAUCUUUUGGGAUGGAAUGAGGGUUUUUGUGUCAAAUUUAUCAAUUGAUUGCCGCAGGUUUCACAUAUGUACUAUAUGAUUGUUGUAGUUUAGAGUCGGCAUAUCAAACAAUGUUUUUACUCAUUAUUAUAAGGUGAGUAGGGUCUGGAUAGAAUUGUUGUUGUGCACAUCCACUAUCGCAAUACAAAUGAUAAUUUUAUUGGUUACAUGUCGUUGGAGAUGAAACCUGAA